CAAUUAAUUCAUGUAAUUAUUUCCUUUUUAAAAGUUAUUCGCGUUACCCCAUCAUAAAUUGUCAAAAGUCUCAUGUUUAUCAUUUUACAGACAUAAAAGAAGAUUUUUCAGUGUAUUUGGAUCAUGGAGAAGCUUUAAAUAAAAAAGUUUUCCUAACAACAACUUUUGGCAAAUUUUCAUAAUUCAUACUAUUUACAGUCAAAAGUAGAAUUUUAUUUUUGAAUAUGAUUCUGAACGCCAUUUUAAAUCGAAAUUCUUUUGUUAUAAGAAAAUUUUCUAAAAUGUAGUAGUUCUCGAGAUAUUUUAAAUUUUGUUAACUGAAUUAUUUUGUUUUAUUACGACCUUUUCAGAAGUUAUUCGUUUCUCCAUCAACAGCAAUUAGUUUUUCGUAAGGCCCAUAACAUUUCCUGUAACUACAUACAAGCUACAUGAAAUGUUAUGAUGCUAUCGCCUUACCGUAAUAUCACAGCGAUAAUGCGUUUGUAAUCGUUAAAAAAUUAAAAUUACAGAGUACGCCGAAAAGCACGCUCGAAUGUUAUGUAUACAUUUUUUCACUGUAAUGGCCGCAUCCUGCAGAAAUACUUAAUGGGAACGCAAACAUUGACAAGUUUUAUGGUUGUUAGUAAUACAAAGCAUUGUCAGUUGAAAAUCACUAUUCGCAAAAGCUGCUUUCCACAAGGGUAAAGUCCACAUAAACGGUGUAUAUAGUUAUUACAACACUUACAUUCUUAUAACAACUGUACAUUUAGUGUUCACGACUUAAUUAUAUAUUGUGCAGAGGAUAAUCAGACGAAAAGUAGUUAUAACAAUGGCACUGGUUACAUUCAAGAUGUUUACCGUGUUCAUAUUUUUAUUUUUACUUUAAUUUUAAUAGUGAUUCAAACUAUUCCAUUGUCAUUUUUUAGAUGAUAAAUAUUGUUGGAGCGAGCAUGUUCAAAUUGUCAUUACUGCUAUUUCGGUAAAUAGUCAAAACGACCACGAAAGUCUGGUCACAGAUACUAUAAGUUUUUUCUCAGUGUAGCAAACCGUGUGUUCUGCCACACCUAUAUAUACCUUAUUGGGCCCCAGUUUGAUGUUACAGAAUGAACUUCGUUUACACUCGACCAAUUAGGUUUUACACCAACGGACAUAACCCCGCAAAAUGAGCCGGAUGAACUUCGUUUGACAAUUGUCGGUGGUUUGUUUACAUGAUAAUUAUGUGAGUUCGAGUGUAACAGAUGAGUACCCGUUGCACUCGUACUCACGCAACUGACGAAGUAAACAAACCACCGAGAAUUGUCAAACCUGAACUUCAUUCAUCAUGAGUUCAUUCGUGUCGUCAUCUUAUAGAACUCAAUUCGACGAGUUUUGAUUCCCACCUCCAGGGAUGCCAGGUGCACAGAUCAAUCUGUUUUACAGAUUUUCAACACGCUACACAGAUUUCUGAAACUGCCCAGAUUUCCACCGUUUUCUGAUAUGAUGCACAUAAAUGUAGAGAUUUCUUAAUUUUCGACCUUGCACCUAAUUUUUGCCUCACGCAGAAACUAAAUGAUCGCCACUUCUUGUUUUGAGACAAACUACGUUUUCCGUAACACAGAUUUUUACAUAGGCUGCGCACAGAUUUCAUAAAAUAUUACUUGGCAUCCCUGCGAUCCAACAAAACCCAACGUGGCUACCAAUAAGUCGAAUAUUUUGCUUUAAAUUCGCCGUGUAAAUAAUUAAAUUUAACAAAUUUUGUUUUUAUAAAAUUGAGGUAUCAGUAUGGCUCAAUUCUAGCCUAGCUGGGCUAUUUCUCAGGAAUAACCGUGAAAUGGAUCCAGGUUCUAAUUAAAAAGUGAUAUUCGGCAAAGUAUCAGAAAAAAUGAUUCCGAUUUGAAGAUAUGUAUAGUGGAGUAAAAUACGAAAAAACAUGACUCGUCGGAGAAAGCAGUAUGAAAAAGCGUACAUAUUAGGAUGCUAUAUAAACUGGAGUCACUAGAGAGAUACAGAUGUGACAACAAAGAAGUUAAUGGAAAAGCCAAUGUUAUUUUAUAGUAUAAAGAGUACAAUAUUACGCAGAUUCAAGGAUAUGUGUAAUACGGGAUGUCAUACGUGAAUUCAAAUGAGCAUUACGUAGUGAACAGCUGUAAAGUUAUUAGCUAUUGAUGACGUCAUGUUUGCUUGGAGACAUUGUGGUAGUCUUGACGGAUCUGCAUAUAACUACUGUCUAUAAUAUUUACUGAUUAGAUAAUUUAUUUA